UGGGAACGUACCUCUUGGUUCGGAACAACACAGGGAAACUUGUGCUAAUACCGGAUAAGCCCUUACGGGAAAGAUUUAUCGCCGAGAGAUCGGCCCGCGUCUGAUUAGCUAGUUGGUGAGGUAACGGCUCACCAAGGCGACGAUCAGUAGCUGGUCUGAGAGGAUGAUCAGCCACACUGGGACUGAGACACGGCUCAGACUCCUACGGGAGGCAG
rnacentral:rRNA from 1 species